UCCAGACUCCUACGGGAGGCAGCAGUGGGGGAUAUUGCACAAUGGGGGAAACCCUGAUGCAGCGACGCCGCGUGUGGGAAGACGGUCCUCUGGAUUGUAAACCACUGUCCCCAGGGACGAAGAUGACGGUACCUGGGGAGGAAGCUCCGGCUAACUACGUGCCAGCAGCCGCGGUAAUACGGAGGAUGCGAGCGUUAUCCGGAUUUAUUGGGUUUAAAGGGUGCGUAGGCGGAUUUUUAAGUCAGCGGUAAAAUGUCCGGGCUCAACCCGGGCCGGCCGUUGAAACUGGGGAUCUUGAGUGGGCGAGAAGUAUGCGGAAUGCGUGGUGUAGCGGUGAAAUGCAUAGAUAUCACGCAGAACUCCGAUUGCGAAGGCAGCAUACCGGCGCCCGACUGACGCUGAGGCACGAAAGCGUGGGGAUCGAACAGGAUUAGAUACCCGAGUAA
rnacentral:rRNA from 1 species